rnacentral:lncRNA from 1 species
ACUAAUAGGUAACAACAUAUGGUAAAUAACAUUGACAACUUAACAACUGCUCUUUGCCAUCGAGGGAGUCUUGCUGUCGCUUGCGGAGCAUGAGCAGAUAUCUGUUCCCUCACCAUUUAUACAAAUCGAAAGUUCCCAGAGCUUCUUGGUGAGAUCCCUUCAAGUUUAUAAUUCACAGUGCAAAAAGUUGCAGGCAAAGGUACGGAAGGAAUUAGGCUUUUGCAGCCGCUUGCUUCGCACCAACUGCAAAGAACUCAGUGAUGACUUCAAGGGGCAUUCCCUUUGUCUCAGGAACCUUAAGGAAGACAAACACAAAGGCAAUCAAGCAUACGACUGCAUAUAUGCCAAAAACACCUGCUAGUCCAAUAGCAUUCAGCAUUACAGGAAGGCUGUAGGUGACAAUGAUGUCUCCAAUCCAAA